rnacentral:rRNA from 1 species
UACGUAGGGGUGCAAGCGUUAAUCGGAAUUACUGGGCCUAAAGCGUGCGCAGGCGGUUAUGUAAGACAGAUGUGAAAUCCCCCGGGCUCAACCCUGGGGAACUGCAUUUGUGACUGCAUAGCCUAGAGUACGGUAGAGGGGAUGGAAUUCCGCGUGUAGCAGUGAAUGCGUAGAUAUGCGGAGGAACACCGAUGGCGAAGGGCAAUCCCCUGGACCUGUACUGACGCUCAUGCACGAA